AUAGGAAACCCCAAAAAAAAAAAAAACAUAGCUAGAACAAGAAAAAACCAAAACCCAAAAAAAAAAAGGCCUCAUAAAUUUAUACCGUAUAAAUUAAACCACCUAUUUCAAAUUUCAAGAGUUAGUUCUCUCUCAUAUAUUUGUUUCAUUGAACAAAAUAAAGGAAAAAUGAAGCUCUCUUCUCUCUUCAAGACCUCAUCAGAAAGUUGUUCAUCUUAUUCUCCAUGGCCAUGGCCACUGCCAGCUUGUGGCAAACCUAAAACCCUAUCUUUUAGAGCAGAAGAAAACAUUUUCAAGACCCUAAACUCUACUUAUCAGCUUGACCACUGCCAGCGUGUGGCAAACCUAAAACCCUAUCUUUUAGAGCAGAAGAAAACAUUUUCAAGACCCUAAACUCUACUUAUCAGCUUGAUGACAUGACUAGUUAUAAUCUUGAUCAUGAGUUCUUCAGUGAAUCUGAAAGAAGCUUUUCUAAUACUA
rnacentral:lncRNA from 1 species